ensembl:lncRNA
GUUAUGUGGAAAAGCCUCGUGAUCCUCACAGAAAAUUUUAUUCUUAUUAGUUAUUAUUAGUAUUAAUCAACUUCAGCUUAGUGUGUUCUGAAUCAAUAUUUCACUCUUGGUGCAAACGUUUGAUUGAUACUGUAGGUAUAGAGUGUGUCUAACUAAAAAUCCAUCUUGGUCUUCUGUGUAAGGUGUCACAUCAAACCAGCCUAGGUCACUCAGGCCGCGAAAGAGAACAUGCUAUGGUGAUGCGUUAGGAAAGAGUACCCCCUCUGGAGAAGCAAUGGAAGCAAAGCCCUUAAAGCUACAAAAGGUUGUCCACAGAAGUUACAGUGGCUAGUCGAGCAUUGGUCAGUAACAAUUCCCAUGUAGAAGCUGAUGUUUCGGUUUUAACCUAUCCUCUCGGAUGCCCUUCAGAAGGACACUGUAGGAACAGUGCUGACAACUGCCUCACCUGAAAAUCCACACACCCCUCCCCUGGACUGUACCAGUGGUCCACUUCAGCAGACUCUCUCAGCGGGUGAUACCACUGUAUCGAAGCAAGAGGGCGGGGAGUGAGGAUGAGGAUGGACACGAAGAGGGAGAGCAUGAAGACGCCUCAGAACUGGUCUGUGGCCUGAUCAGAGAACUCUCCUCUCUAAACCGGCUCGUGAUGGCUACGGAUCGGGAGCUGGAGACUUUUCGCCGUGGAAAGAAGACCGCAAGGACCCCGACACAUCGUGUGUUCCCCCCACGACGGACUGAGAUCUAGGAUGCCCCAUUUUAGACGUGGCUUUAAUCGUCACAACGUCCCCGAAGGCUAACAAAGCCCGCACACAGUGGAAGUUAAUUUGAGACUUAUAGAUGAAAAUCAGUUUAUUAAAAACAGCGAUCCUUAUUGUCAACACAUUGAAACGCAACUUUCAUUUCUGUUAAGGGAUAUGGACGUAACCUUGUAAUUAUGCCAGUUUUACCGAUGCAUUUCUGUUGCCGUUUUAUUCCCUUGUUCCCCUAAUGCCGAGGACUUGUUAUAGUGACAUGUGAACUUUCUAAUAAAUCAAGC